UUUCCGACAGCACUUUAGGUCUGUAACGAUGUAUCGAACAAUCGAUGGAUUGCAAUUGCUGAGUCUCCGAUGGCAAUUAAUCGAUGGCAGAAACGAAAAACUAUUAAUGCAUUGAUAGUAUGUAUGACUAUCAAUAGUUAAAUAAGUGACUUCC